rnacentral:rRNA from 1 species
AUCAACUUUCGAUGGUAGGAUAGAGGCCUACCAUGGUGGUAACGGGUAACGGGGUGUUAGGGCACGACACCGGAGAGGGAGCCUGAGAAACGGCUACCACAUCCAAGGAUGGCAGCAGGCGCGCAAAUUACCCAAUCCCGACACGGGGAGGUAGUGACAAUAAAUAACAAUACGGGGUUCUUUCGGAUUUCGUAAUUGGAAUGAGUACAAUUUAAAUCUCUUAACGAGGAACAAUUGGAGGGCAAGUCUGGUGCCAGCAGCCGCGGUAAUUCCAGCUCCAAUAGCGUAUAUUAAAGUUGUUGCAGUUAAAAAGCUCGUAGUUGAAUUUCGGGAUCAAUACGUCGGUCGUGCCUCUGGUAUGUACUGGUGUUAUUGAUUUCUCCCUUCUGAUGAACCAUGAUGUCAUUAAUUUGGUGUUGUGUGGAGUCAGGACUGUUACUUUGAAAAAAUUAGAGUGUUUAAAGCAGGCUAACGCUUGAAUACAUUAGCAUGGAAUAAUGAAAUAGGACGUUCGAUCUUAUUUUGUUGGUUUCUAGGAUUGACGUAAUGAUUAAUAGGGAUAGUUGGGGGCAUUAGUAUUCAAUUGUCAGAGGUGAAAUUCUUGGAUUUAUUGAAGACUAACUACUGCGAAAGCAUUUGCCAAGGAUGUUUUCAUUAAUCAAGAACGAAAGUUAGGGGAUCGAAGACGAUCAGAUACCGUCGUAGUCUUAACCAUAAACUAUGCCGACUAGGGAUCGGAUGAUGUUAAUUUUUUAAUGACUCAUUCGGCGCCUUACGGGAAACCAAAGUGUUUGGGUUC